CAAUCCAAGUGAGCAAAUCAGGGCGCACAAGAGAACUGAGAGUACCAUAACAACAUUUGCAUCGAAAGUGUUAUCGCCAGUGUAAACUUCUGACGGAUCAUGGCUGGUUGCAGGAGCUGGAGGAGCUGCUGCAGUUGGUGAUUGGUAAACGUGGGUAUGCAAUAGCAAUCUUCUUGAGUACAAGUCCCCCAGAAAAUCUUGAAAUAGUUGAGUGGUUGAAGCAGAAGUUGACAUGCUUGGCGAGUUUAGAGAAAUUGGGAAAUUUAAUUAAGGUGGGAGCUUCUUGGCAGUGAUUAGUUAUGGAGACUAUAUAUAGGAAAAGGUAAAGGGUUGAAUUUGCUCCUGGAGCUUUGAUAUAAUAUUUGCAA
rnacentral:misc_RNA from 1 species